AAGUGCUAUCUGAAUUCUUUCGCUCAUACCCUUUAUUUAUCUUGUUUUAACGGGAGUGGUUCCAAAUUCUUUCUUGUCCAUCGUGCUCGUCAUUCAUAUCUUUGCAACCUCCAAGUUUUUCAUGGUGUUUUUUUCAUUCCCUCUUUUCUAACAAAGUGUUUCCAACUUCGUUGAUCUCAAUUGUCUUCUUUCAUUCAAUUUGUUCAACCUCUCAAGGUUCAUGGUUUCACUCGUUUGUCAAAGAAGCAACUUUUUUACCUCUUCCUCUUCCGCUUCUCUCCGGUGCCAUCGUUAGAUCUCGGUGCGAGACCACUUGUAAGUGGAGGAGUGUUGUGACAACCCGAGACCGACGCUCCAGAAGCCUUCCAUGUUCUUCGUUGCCAUAGUGUGUUUUAUUUUUGUUGUUGUUGCAUUUCAUCAUGUCAUCAUGCAUAUUGCAUCCCCAUUUUUCAUAAAAUCGUAGUUGUUCGUGGUUGCCACUUCUUCCUUGUCUCUUUUGACCUUCUCUCAGACCAACCGGACCGCUCUUUUCUCUCUUGUAUUCUUCGUGGCCCCUUUGUCUUUGUCGACCUCUCGCAGACCCUCGUGCGUGCCCGAAAACUUCCCGGAACCCGACCCGCUCGGUCAUCAUCGUUGGGUCCGGAUCAUCCCCAAACAUCCCUAAAACAUCUUCGUUUCUUGACUUUCCUAGCCUAUUUAUCCCGGGCCGUCCGAUUACGAUCGGAGGGUCCGACACCUAGCAAAAACCCAUUUGCUAUAAAUAUGCAGGCAACCUUAAGCCCUAGUCGUCCCAUCCAUCCAUUCCAUUCCCGCAGCCGCCGCCACCCUCUCUCCCUUGUUCCUCGGGAGCUUGUCCCAUCGCUGCUUGUCUCCUUCAUCCUCGGGAUCCUUCCAGAUUUCCACCUGCCCAAUCCAUCGAUCCUCCCAACCAGCAGAUCACCCUGGCGCCUCUUCUCCCUGCCUUCCUCUUCUGCUCGAGCGCGCCGCUCGAGAGGAGCCCGCGGCCUCCACUCCGAAGCCUCGAGCAGCCAGCUGCCUCGACUGCAACAACUCCAUGACCUCCUGCAGCUGCCUCCCCGUCGUCAUCUUCAAGCUCGCUGCCUCUGUCUCACCCACCGGACCCUCGCUUCGCUUCGUCCGCUGCCGCAUCGAGCCGCUGCUUGUUUCCACCUCUAGUGCCGCCGUCGGCCACCUCCAAACAUCGAUGUGGACAGUCAGAUCCAGAUCGCAAGGCCCCCAUCACGCUAGUUCUUCCCCACCAAAGCUCCUUGCAGCCUCAACGCUCGGAGGCGCCCGAGGCCUCGACCUCCAUCACCGCGCCUCGCCUCGCUAUAGCAGUGCAUCGCCCGCGAGCCACGGACGAAGACCAGCAACAACCCUGCCGCUCUGUCUUCUGUUCUCUGUCUCAGGCUUGCUCUCGCUCUCCCGGUGCAGGAACCCCAUGGAAGCUCCGUCUCACCGCCGUUUUGCACCCGUUCCAGCUGGGAAUCGGAUGGACCCGUCUUCCUCGCGUCCGUCCCCUGCCUCUCCGCCUCGCUGGAGUCCAGCACAUCGCCGCUAGCUGCUCGCCACCGAGCGGAUCCGCCGCCGUUCGCGUCGCCUACCUCACCAAUGCUCGAUCUGCGCCGUUCACCUCCUGCCGUCGCCCGGAUCCGCGCCGCUCCGCCGCCUCGUCUCCGGCCCCUGCCCGCCGGAGUCACGCUUCCCUGUGCCCCACAGCCUCGCCGCGCCGCGCCUCUGCUUUGUUCGAGCAGGGACGAGACAACGAGUGCUGCUCACGUUGACCGCUCCAGCAACCAAGCCAAGGCCAGCGCCCCUUCGUUGAUCAGAUUGAGCGCCUCGGCUCGAUCGCCUGUACCCGUGGGCCGGCCGCGCUGCCUCCCCGCGCGUUUCAGCCCAGCAGCCAGCCCACGGCCAUCGCUUCCAAACUGGGCAAGGCCCUUGGUGAGAACACAUGCGGCCCGUAUCAUUUUUUUUCCUAGUUCCGCGAAUUUGCUAAUUAUCCAGAGAAUGCUAGCUUUUCAGAAAACCCCCUAAGUUUCAUGCAUAUCAUAUCUCACAAACCAUGUAUCGGAUUAAAUGACACACACACACAUAUAUAUAUAUAUAGUAACACUAAACUAAGCGUGAGUGUAGAAUAGCUUAUUCUACAUCCCAGUAGCGGUACAUGCAAAAUAUAGUAAUUUCCGUAAAAAUAUACUAAAUUACAAACUUGAUAAGUAAAAGAAUAUUUUCUGGAUUACUACAUUUUAUACACCGUUUUACUAGAUUUUGUAUAUAGUACUACUAGGGUGUAGAAUAAGCUAUUCUAUAGUCACGCUUAUAUAUAUAAGAAUAAGUAAUUCUUCAUCCUGAGCCAACCUUUCUCUCAGUUUGAUCCCACCCACGUGUUGUACCUUGGAGGCUCCGACCCUCCACCGUUUUAUGACAAGCGAGGUAAAUUUUCUACGCGACGAGGUAAGUUUUCCCCUUUUCUUACGUUGGCAAAAACUGUUUUCUGUUCGUGGGGUUAGCCCACUCUGCCUCCUCCGAUCCAACUCUAAUCCCUGCGGUUUUCAGCGGCGACUCACUCGCGUUAGCUGGCUUCGGUGUGGUGGUCGACGACUCAGUGAGCGGCCAGUGGGAAAGAUGGCAUGGUGGUCGAGGGUUAGGUUGGUCGUCGUGGGGAUAUACGGUUGACCACUGGGGCACGACGGCGUGGUGCUCGGUGGCCACGGCGGUGAGGUGAGCGCGACAUGGCAAGGAUGUUGGGAAGCGUAGCUUGUGGUGGUCUGCUGGCCGCGGCGACAGUUCAGGUGGUGUUGGUGGCUCUGUGAGUAGUGCUAGCGGUGGCUCUGGUUUAGACCACGACCGCUUCGUCCUAUCCUCCGGUCGGCUGCCACGGCUGCUUGCUCCAGUACGUGCUGGUAACUUAUAUCUCCGACCAAGGGCUUGCCUCGGCACCCUUACAAACUCGAGAUCCCGACUACGAGAGCUCUCCCUAAUGUGUGCACAUAUUGGCUUGAGUUCGGGCAAGAUUGGUAGUGUGUCGGUGUUGUCGUGGUGGAUGUAGUGCUAACCUCUUGGUGUAGCAUUGUGCCGGAAGGUUUUGUAUCGGCCAUCUUGACCUCUUCUUCUAUGCAUAUAUGAUAUGCAUGUUCGUGCGUAUUCUAGAAAAAAAAAGAGGCUCAACAAAAUGUACUCUUUUUCAUGUGCAUAUACCUCUUGGGAACUUCAAUGAAAACCGGAAGAUUUUGUCUUCUGGUUGUUCUUCGUGAUACUACUACUCGUUCUAUACAGAUAAAAAGAAAUCUAUGUGUACAAGAAUACUUGCAGUUUUUA